rnacentral:rRNA from 1 species
UACGGGGGGGGCAAGCGUUGUUCGGAAUUACUGGGCGUAAAGGGCUCGUAGGCGGCCAACUAAGUCAGACGUGAAAUCCCUCGGCUUAACCGGGGAACUGCGUCUGAUACUGGAUGGCUCGAGUUUGGGAGAGGGAUGCGGAAUUCCAGGUGUAGCGGUGAAAUGCGUAGAUAUCUGGAGGAACACCGGUGGCGAAGGCGGCAUCCUGGACCAACACUGACGCUGAUGAGCGAAAGCCAGGGGAGCAAGCGGG